rnacentral:rRNA from 1 species
UACGUAGGCAGCGAGCGUUGUUCGGAAUUACUGGGCGUAAAGAGUGUGUAGGCGGUGCUCUAAGUUCGGUGUGAAAUCUCUCGGCUUAGCUGGGAGGGUGCGCCGGAAACUGGAGUGCUCGAACGUGGGAGAGGAAAGCGGAAUUCCUGGUGUAGCGGUGAAAUGCGUAGAUAUCAGGAGGAACACCUGUGGUGUAGACGGCUUUCUGGACCAUAACUGACGCUGAGACACGAAAGCGUGGGUAGCAAACAGG